ACAGCAGUUAAAUACGUGGAUGGUGAAAGGCAACAGUGGAGAAGAGCACAGGCAAGGAGUGAAUGAGACAGACAUGAGGUCGGCGAUGGCUAGAGAUGAGCCCAGUGAUGACAUCAGUUGUUGGGUGUAUAAGGGAUGGACAGGAGGGAGAGUACAGAGCGCUGGUGGACAUCUUUGUGGAGUGGGCUGGUAAGAAGAAUCACCUGCUGCUGAACGUGGAUAAGACCAGAGAGGUGGUGACUGACUUCAGGAGGAAGGGAACAGCUCUGCAGCCCAUUUGCAUUCUGGGUGGAGUGAUUACGGUGGCCCAGACGGUUCAACACAAACACAAAACCUACAACACAAACACAAAAGCUACAACACAAACACA